CUCCAAAUGUCAGAUGCUUUGCUACGUCCCUGAUGGUUGUAUUGGAAACCGAUUUCAGUUUAAGAUAUCCUUAGUCUGCUCUUCCAAAAACAAGAGAAUGAUAUGUUCCUAAGAAUGAUAUGUUCUGUGUUCAUGAGAUAUUUAGUACAAACGGGAUAAAAAGUAAAGAAAUUGAAGCACUGGCGAUUUUGCAACAGAUGCCAGGUGAUACGUUGGCAAUUUCAUUCAAUUCCGAAUUCUGGGGGGGGGCAUUGAAAAUUUUAAAAACUUGAAGGGG